rnacentral:lncRNA from 12 species
UUACUCAAAGUAUACUGGCAACUUUGAUAGACAGGUUGAGGUUGUACCAAGUUAACACUCCUGGUGAGGAGUGAGAACACUUGUUCUCAUACCCUUGUCAGCACAUAAUAGUUUCAGUCUUGAUCUUUGCCAGACCAACAAGAGAAAACCGUAUUUCUGUGUCAUUUUAAUUUGCAUCUCUCUUAAUACUAGUAAGAUAGAGUAUCUGGCCAGAUAUUUGAGAACAAUUUUUAUUUCACUUUCCAUAAACUGUGUCAUAUCCUUUGAGUUUUUGUAGGUUAUUGAUUUUUUAAAAAUAUUUUAUUUAUUUAUUUAUUUGAAAGAGAGAGAGAAUACAAGCAGGCCGGGGAGAAGCAGAGAGAGAAGGUGAAACUGAGCAGGGAGCUGGACAUGGGGCUCCAUCCCAGGAACCCAUGAUCAUGACCAAAGCAGAUGGCACUUAACUGAACCACCCAGGCAUCCCAUAUUGAUCCUUUUCAUAUUGACUUAAAAGAGCCCUUGAUAUGCUCCAAAGGGUAAACUUUUGUUUUUCAUGUGUAUUUUUAGUUUAUCAUUCAUGUUUCUAUUAGUUUAUAGUGGCUGUUUUUUUUUUUUUUUUUUCCAUAGAGAAAGUUUAGAUUUUGAUGAAGUAGACUUUGUAUCCUUUCUUUUAUGGCUUCUGGAUUUUGUGACACACUUGAAAAGUCUUAGUCUACUCUGAAAUAACAAUAUUCUCCUAAGUUUUCCUUGAGUAUCUUUAAAUAAUAGAAUUUCAAAGUAUUGAGCAAAUAAGACUAUGCUUGUCAUACAAGAUGAACUAGUCCUGUCCACAUCCUGAUAUAAAUGUGCAUACACAGGAAAAAUGCAGGUUUGUUGGAAGGCAGAAUAAUCUUUUUGUACUGUUUUGCAGGUUUUCUUCAUUGGUCCUGUGUUACUUUGAUCCUCAGAAAGGGAAAUCUGACACAGCUAGAAAGCAAUGGAAAGCACUAGGGUUGCAUCAGAUAUUGAAGAGGAACCAAUCAUUCUAUGGAGAUAACAAUUAUAUCUUUGUAAAGAGGAUUUUAAAAAUCUGGUUAUUUAAAGGUAACAAUCUUUUUGGGGAAGCUAACGAGGGUUCCAGAGGCCAAUUUACCCUUGUUAGCAAUGUUGGCCCCAUGUUAGAAUGAGGAACGGAUGUGUCUUGAUGCUGUUUCCUCUUCCAUUCAGUGUAGAUUUUCAAGAGUGGGCUGCAAAUAAAUUUUCAUCCCUUUUCA